rnacentral:rRNA from 1 species
AUUGAACGCUGGCGGAAUGCUUUACACAUGCAAGUCGAACGGCAGCACGGGGCAACCUGGUGGCGAGUGGCGAACGGGUGAGUAAUACAUCGGAACGUGCCCAAUCGUGGGGGAUAACGUAGCGAAAGUUACGCUAAUACCGCAUACGAUCUACGGAUGAAAGCGGGGGAUCGCAAGACCUCGCGCGAAUGGAGCGGCCGAUGUCAGAUUAGGUAGUUGGUGGGGUAAAGGCUCACCAAGCCAACGAUCUGUAGCUGGUCUGAGAGGACGACCAGCCACACUGGAACUGAGACACGGUCCAGACUCCUACGGGAGGCAGCAGUGGGGAAUUUUGGACAAUGGGCGCAAGCCUGAUCCAGCCAUUCCGCGUGCAGGAUGAAGGCCUCGGUUGUAACUAGCUUUUGUACGGUAACGAAACGGUACUGCCCUAAUACAGUUUGCUAAUGACGGUACCGUAAGAAUAAGACACCGGCUAACUACGUGCCAGCAGCCGCGGUAA